GGGAAGGGCUUCCUGCUGAGCCACCUUUGAUCCCAGGUCUGAUCUGGGAGAGUGACCCUGGACAGCCGGCCCAGAGGGAGUUCAGACACCCAGAGCUUUCUCUGGUGGCCACCAUGGGCACCAAGCUCAGGGUCCUUCCCCAGCAUAGCUGUUUGGCCUUGGGCAAAUCACCACGCCCCUCCAAAUCCCCCACCUGUAAAGCAGGAUUAAAAAUGUGUAUCUCAGAGCAUCACCCACUCAUCAGAUGCGUACGGCAUCACACAACAUCUGCUUCUCAGCAUCGAAGAGGCGUUGAGGCAUGGCCGGUGAGCCUGAAAAGAUCAGGACUGCGACUCCCAUUUUACAGAGGGAUAACCUGAGGCUCAGUGAGGUGAAGGCAGUUCAAGAUCCUUGACAGAGGCUCUGGAUCACUGCGCUAGAAAGUGGUGGGGUGGGGAAAGACCGCUGGGCUUUCUGACUUCAGCAACACGUUCUCCAGUAACCAGACUUCCGAACAGUGGCAGACAGGGCCCUCUGCCUGGCAAGCACACACCACAGGACCUGUCCCACAGAGGGCCUCCCAGCCCGCUCUGCCAACCUCACCCACAGGCCCCCAAACUUGAGAGGGUUGACAUAGGCCAUGGAGACCUGUGCGAAUGUCUGCCUUCCCUACUCCAGUCGACCCCCUGCAUCACCCAGAGCACCAGGCCAGGGCCUGGAGUCACGCUCUCCUCUGCCCAGCACUGCCAGGAAGGCAGAAGGUGAGACACAGGAGAGAAUGCAUGGCGAGAGUGGGCAUUUAUUUGGCACGUCCUAGGUGGGCUGGGCUGCUCGAUGAGAUUUUAGGUAUAUUAUCACCAUCAGGAAGAUUCUAGAGGUAAUGAAACUGACAUCCAAGAGGGGAGGUGACCUCUCCAGGGUCUCCACCCUGUGCGCCUCAGUUCCCCCAACUGUGACAUUGGAUGAAGGAGCUCAUGCUCAGGGAGGCUGGGAGGGGUCCUGAGGAGGGCUCAGAGCAAGGCCUUGGGACAGCAUAGUCCCUGCAAGGGAGUGACCGCUAGGGGCCUUCCUGGGAGCCUGCUGUGCCCUCAGCCCCAGCCCUGCCCACCCUCCCUUUCCCUCUCUGCCUUUCUCCAGAGCACGGCUCAGCCCUUUGGGGCUCUGCACUUUGGGGCCAGAGAGACCUGAGUUAGAAUCCAGACCUGCCACUCACUGGUUAUGCGACCUGGGCUGAGCGGUUCUUUUUCUCUGAGUCUCAGUUUCCUCAUCUGUCUGCGUAAAUAAAUGAGGGUAAUAACCAGCCGCAUUUCAAGGGGUCUGGAGGUUAGGACAUCAUAUCUUUCAAGUACCUGGUACGCUGUCUGACGCAGAGUAACCAUUUAAUAAAGCGGAGCUGUUGUUGCUGUCGCUGUCAUUGUUGGCGUUUAUUUAUGAAUGUCGAGGCGGCAGGUGGGCCUUGGUGGGACUGUACGGACAUUUCCCGGAUGCCCGGAAGGUGGCGCUAGAGACCCCCUUGUCGGCUCCCAAGAGAGCGCUAAGCAUGGUCUUCACAUCAUCGGGAAGAAGCCAAACUUAG
rnacentral:lncRNA from 1 species